GUUUUGAACGUUCACGUGCGUUUUGAGUGGUUUUCGGGUGUUGGUGGUUAUUGUUGUAUGUGGGUGUAGUGGGUGUUUCUCGAUGAUUGUUGUGAAUGGCAAGAGUCUUUUUAUUUCUCAGUUCGUAUUUCCGAGCCGUAUGUUAAUUUUUACCAGCUAAAAUUCAAAGCCCUCCAGGAUGGACUCUCAGAAGUUCUGCCUCAAAUGGGACUGGUUCCAGGACAGCGUCACGUCUGUGUUUGACCAGCUCUGCUCCGGAGGGGAGCUGCUGGACGUCACGCUCUGCUGUGAGGGACAGCGUGUCUGGGCCCACAGGAUGAUGCUGUCUGCCUGCAGUCUGUACUUCAGGGAACUGCUAAAGGCUCGGCGGCUAAUGCUCCGGGCUCCUUACCGAUGACGGAGGAGGGUCCUCUCCGCCCCUGAGGGAGCUCACUGAACUACCUUCUCGCCCCGCGCCAUCUGCGCCGUCCUCACCGCCGGCCGACCCGACCAACGAGAACGACACAGACGCCCUCCGGCACUGCUGGCAGAGGAAACUGAAGGAGAGCGUCGCUGCCAGACUACCCAAGGGCACCUAUCUGCACCAGACGCCGUCCCGGUACAUUUUCCCCGGAGCGGAGGUGCUGGUCGACCCCGAUGACUCGGACAGUGACAGAGAUUCGCUGGGCUCGGAGCGCGGCAGCGACGAUGAGUCUGUGACCGCUGACGACCAUCCAAACCACUCCUCGGACACGCCAGAGACGGCCGUCACCGCCUCCACACGCUGACUCCUGUCCUCCAACUCCUCCCGGACGGGUUACUCUCUCUGCGGCAUCAUCAGGAGCGGCGUCUUCAACAUCGACUGCUGCAGUGGAGACUUCAGCCAGACCGACGGGGACAAACCUUUGUCGGAGGAUGCGGAGUCGGAGCCAGAAUCGGUGGGUUGUUCAGGCUCAGCCCUGAAAAGGCCGAUCAGUGACACACUAGCAAAGGACGAGGGGGAUGUGAAGAGACGUCCGGCACUCGGCGGUGGUGGCGAGCCUGAUGGUUCUCCCAUCACCGCGCCGCCAACGCCGGAGGCGGUGGUGGCGCGGGAAGUGCGCCGGAAAAUGCCACCGGCGCGGCUGACGAGAUCAGCUAAUCUACCACUUUGGUCCGGGGAUCAGGUAAAACACACCGAAGUUGGGGGUCAGUUCAGUGAGAGUUUUCAUUCGCACACCAACACACAUUGGUGACCAUAAAGAUCUAUUUUCAUACAGUGUCUGCACACAAUAACUAAUGUUGUGCCUCGGUGACUCAUACGGUAAGACUGGGUUUGGGCUAGGAAGUGGAGAUCAUGAAUCAGACCGAUUCGGUUUGAAAGCCAUCAUGUGAACUAUUGUGGAGCUAUGAGCCAAUGGUGAGCUAAUUUACGGCUAAAAGCUUUGUGGAGCUAUGGGCCAGUGGUUAGAUUUAUUUAGUUAUGAGCCAAUGGUGAGCUAAUUCGGAGCUGUGAGCUCAGGGUGAGCUGAUUGGAGACAAUUAGAGAUGAGCUAGUUUGAACUAUAUGAAGCAGGAGUGAGCUAUCAUGAAGCGCUAAGCCAGUGGUGAGCUAAUUAAUCCCAUUUGUUGGCGUGUAUCGUUGGACAAAUACCUCAUUUAUUUGUGACAUCAUGAAACACCAGAAGGGGAAAGCCCGCUUUACUUGCUGGAUCAACUUUUUUUUUUGCUGAUCCUCGUCCGCGUCGUCUAAAACUGUCACCUCACAUUUGGCAGGAUUUAAAAUGAGGUCGACAUCUGGGACCAUCUUGGUGACUGUUGGAAGGUCAGAGAUUGUUGUGUCGGUGUGUCACCGAGCUCCAGCUUACUCACAGCGGGCUCCGGGCUAACGUUUAUUGCUCCACGACAACAACACAAGAACGCAUGGCGGUGGCCAUUCCGGACAGAAGGACCUUAGUGGUGAGGGACCGUCCAACAAAGGCGUCCAACCAACCACUGAACUCCGGUCCUCAUGCUACACGUGCACUUGGCUCUAACUAUGAAAUAAUAACUAAUGGCGUUCCACCAACUCAGUCUCUGAACAAACGUAGGUAGACCAUGGUUGAUCCACGCCAUAGCUGUUCAAACAACAAUACGGCUCAUCACUAAACAAAACAAUCGCAACAUUGCGCGGAUCAGAAGUAUGUGGCGCAUAGCCACAACCCAACAGAGAUGACGUCAGCAACUGGGCCUGCAGUCGUUGCAUCGUCAAGGUACCAUAUGUUCAGUGGUGAUUGGAGGCUGCGUGCGCACGUGUUGACUGUCAGCGCGAAUGCGAGCGGGCCCAGCGGGUCACCUUGCUGGACACCCGUUGAGGACAUGGUUUUGUGACCAGCGUAGAUAAGUGGAGUGGGCGUGCUAUACGCCUGAUGGGCCAUCGCAUAUACCUCCGGGCAGCAGUCGUUCAGAUAUCGAAGCACGGCGUCACGUCUCACAGUAUUAAACGCGUUUUUGACGUCUACCUUGAGGAGCACUCGUGUUGCUUCUGUUUGAUCUGGUGAACUUUUUGUAUAGUUUCUUGCUGCGUGUACCGCGGCCUCACAGCCGAGUGGCGUGCCGACACCGAGUUGAGCGGGUCUCAGUUCCGGACCCGGCAGGUCAGCUUUAAGGCGGGCGGCGAUGCGUGCUGGUAGGCGGCGGUAGGCGCUGCCGACGGUGAGCGGGCGCAGGCCUCCGUCUUUCUUCCGGAAGGCGCACAGAGAUGCACUGUAGAGGGCGUCCCGCGCACAUGCUGCUAACUGACCAGCCAACACCAGGUUGAUGAGUGCGGUAAGUGAAGUCAGCAUGCGCUGACCGGCCUCGCCCGCCUCUGCUGAGAUUAGCUACCGCAGGUGAAGGGGCCUGAUGUCAUCCAGACCCGCAGCUGAUCCCGUCGGCAUGGAGAGAAUUGACUGCCGGACCUGGCUCUCCGUUACAGUCAACGGCGGUGCCUCUGUAGCAGAUGGCGGCGGUGGCAUGUCUUCGGGUGUUUGAGGCGUAGCAAACUGAUGACCUCUUCGGAGGGCUGCACUAAGGACUCGCUAGAUGUGGGUAUACUGAGUGCAGCUCCCACGUCGCCGUCUGCGCACUUCGCGUACACCCGACGGGCGAUUUUAUCAUCCUCGGAAGGAUGCGCUGGAUUUCUGCUUGCGCCGUAUUCUUGGGAGAGCUGUAGCCAAGGCGGGGCUACCUCUCUUGCAUUUCAAAGGUCCGCGUUACCAACGCUCCGUCGGUGACCUGUCGCUUAAUGAGUGUUGUUAAGGAGCAGUUACGUUUGUUGUUGGCGUCCAGAGCACUAUAUGCGAAGGAGAAAAGGCGCCACCAAGCGUCAGGACUUGAGCUGGAGACUGCUACAUUCAUUCUUUCCGAGAGGCUGUUGACCACUACCGCGCGGGCCGCUUUCGGAAUUAGUCUUAUGAUUCUUGCGGAUAGUCUGCUGCACAGUCAGGUUUGUCCCUAAAUGGCACUUCUAAGUAGCUGCCAUUUUGCAUUUUGCACAAACUUCAGCAUCAGCGCACAAGCCAAUGGCCACACACAGACACCUGCUAAAAGAGGUUUUGUAGGGCUGACCUUUCCUGAAAGUGGUAGCUAAGGCCUUAUGAUAUAUUUAUAAUUUGAAAUUAUGAAUGAAUGAAAGGCAGAUUAAAUGUGUAUCACAAAUCCUCAACUUUCAACCUUUUAAUUGAAACACCCAUCAUUUUUACAUAAUUACCAUUUUAGAUUACAUACUUGAAAUGUGAAAUAAGAAACAGUGCACAUUGCUUACUUGAAGACCAGCAGGUGCGCCUCCAGUUUGAUCUCUGGCUCCAGGGCCACAAAGUGGGCCGUCAUGUCAAAGAAGGCGACAAGUGUCCGGCUGCUCCAGAGGUCCACGGUGAGGCACACAGUGCUGUCUUUUGGCAGGAGCAGAAGAGUUUUCUUGAGCGCAGCUUUCUUGCCCUCUGCUAAGGACAGCAGCUGUUGUCGCACGACAACAGGGGGGGGGGGGGGCGCUCCAGGGCAGGGCCCGACGCUCCGUCUGCUCCGCCAGCAUCUGGUCACCCAACGCCCGCACAAAUCGCACUCGUCUACCACGCCGCGGAUCGGCGUCAUCACUGUCCGGAUGACGCAUGGUGAACAGCUGAUGAGCGUUCAGGCACGCCACACUCAGCAUAAAAAACAGCAUCCGCGUGGGCCAGCGGCGGACUGCUGCGCCACACGUAUGGUGAGCGAAGAUAUUGUCACAUAUGUCCACUCCCCCUUUGUGCUAUUAUAGAAUAGCACAAUUUCGGGCUUUCCGCUGAUUUGGUCGACCUUUGGCAUCUUGUGCUGGGUGGAGGCGACCAGCCUUACCUUCCCCGGCUUGGGGCAGUGGGAGGCCAGCUGCACCCCGUUCCGGAAGCAGAUCUUGUUGCUUCCAGCCUCCCGACCUGUUGGGUCCGUCAUCUCCUUGAGAAGGAGCCGCUUGUUCCGGUUCAGUGUGCCGACAGAAGACAGCCGUUUCUGGUCGCUUAACUCCUCGACCGGGGGGAUGGACGUGAAAUACCUGUAAGCAAAAGUAACAAAAACUGUCAGAAAUCUUGAAUAAAGCACAUCCUUCAUGCAAUAACACUGUUUUGGUCAUUUUCCUUCAUAACUAUAUCAACACUUUAUGGGCGUUUUGCUUACGAU
rnacentral:lncRNA from 1 species